UGGGGAAUAUUGGGCAAUGGACGCAAGUCUGACCCAGCGACGCCGCGUGCGGGAUGAAGGCCUUCGGGUUGUAAACCGCUUUCAGCAGGGAAGAAGCGAAAGUGACGGUACCUGCAAAAGAAGCACCGGCUAACUAUGUGCCAGCAGCCGCGGUAAUACAUAGGGUGCGAGCGUUAAUCGGAAUUACUGGGCGUAAAGCGUGCGCAGGCUGUUUUGUAAGUCAGAUGUGAAAUCCCUGAGCUCAACUUAGGAACUGCGUUUGAAACUACAAGACUAGAAUAUGUCAGAGGGGGGUAGAAUUCCACGUGUAGCAGUGAAAUGCGUAGAGAUGUGGAGGAACACCGAUGGCGAAGGCAGCCCCCUGGGUCAACACUGACGCUCAUGCACGAAAGCGUGGGGAGCAAACAGG
rnacentral:rRNA from 1 species